rnacentral:SRP_RNA from 1 species
GCCGGGCAUGGUGGCUCGCCCCUGUAAUCCCAGCACUUUGGGAGGGUGAGGCAGGAGGAUUGCUUGAGGUCAGGAAUUUUGAGACCAGCCUAAGCAAGUGAGACCUCAUCUCUACAAAAAUAGAAAACGUUAGCUGGGUGUAGUGGCUUAUGCCUAAUCCCAGCUACUCAGGAGGCUAAAGCAGAAGGUGGUGGUGCCACUGAACCACCAAAUUUGCCACCAUGCCCAGCUUUUUUAUUUUUUGUAGAGAUAGGGUCUUACUAUUUUGCCCAAGUAGGUCUCAAACUCCUAGGCUCAAGCAGUCCUCCUGC